UACGGAGGGUGCUAGCGUUGUUCGGAAUUACUGGGCGUAAAGCGCACGUAGGCGGCGAUUCAAGUCAGAGGUGAAAGCCCGGGGCUCAACCCCGGAACUGCCUUUGAAACUAGAUCGCUAGAAUCUUGGAGAGGCGAGUGGAAUUCCGAGUGUAGAGGUGAAAUUCGUAGAUAUUCGGAAGAACACCAGUGGCGAAGGCGACUCGCUGGACAAGUAUUGACGCUGAGGUGCGAAAGCGUGGGGAGCAAACAGG
rnacentral:rRNA from 1 species